UGACAUCUCUUAUGCAGCUCUGGAGCUUGAGGUGAACUGGUCCGACUUCCAGAAGAGAAGGAAAAGCCAGUGCAGUUACCUGACAGUGAGUAAACCCGGUGUUUCUCGUGGUUUCGUCAGAUCUACCAUCGCCUGCCAGCCUGUCCUGCUUUGACCCCGCAGACUGUCCCUGUCCCCUCUGAACAAAAGGAUGGGCUGUUUCACAGCAACCCUAUGGUUUGGUACAGUUGCUGCAGGAAGCAGACUUAGGGAAGGAGCGGAGGGACACAAGGGUACAAGGUGUCGGACCAAAAUUAGGGGAUCUUCUAAAUCAGAAUAAAACACGUUCUCCACUCAAGUCAGAAGAACUGUCCAUUCAAAGCCUACAGUGCCAACCUAUGACAAGAUUGCAGGAUGGCCUGUUAGGAAGCCCACAAUGACUUUCCCAUUCACUAUAAGUUACCCACAGAUGAAAGAAUUUCACAAUGUCACAAUGAAUUUGGUUGCCGACACAGAGAUCCUAG
rnacentral:lncRNA from 1 species